rnacentral:Y_RNA from 1 species
GGCUGGUCCGAGUGCAGGUGGCGUUUACAACUAAUUGAUCACAGGCAGGUUACAGAUUCCUUUGUCCCUUCUCUACUCCCACUGCUUUCCCGUGGACUAGGCUUUA